rnacentral:lncRNA from 1 species
UAGCUUUCAACUCCAAACUGGUCUUGAGAUCUCACCUCAGUCUCUAACCUUGACAUCUAACCUCUUCACCCACUCUCUUACCUGACCCUAAUUUUUAAAAAUGACGUGGUCAGCUUUUCAGCCCCCUCAUUCCCUGUUUUUAGGAGGUAGUGAGUGGAAGCUGGAAGAAUAAGAAAGCUUGGGGAGACUGCAAUUGCAGUCAGGAAAGAAAGGUACUCUGCCGGGAAGAACACCCCAUCUUCUCCUAGGGAAAGAUUGUGGAGUCCUGGGGUUUGUUUUGUUUUUCAAUUUUUUGUUUUAAGAGACAGCGUCUCGCUCUGUCACCCAGGCUGGAGUGCAGUGGCGCAAUCACAGCUCACUGCAACUUCGACCUCCCCGGCUCAAGUGAUCCCCCCGCCUCAGCCUCGUGAGUAGCUGGGACCACAGGCGUGCACCACCACGCCCGGCUAACAUUUUAUUUUUUGUGGAUAUAAGGUUGCCCUAUUUCUUUGUGGAGAUAAAGGCUCCCCUAUGUUGCCCAGGCUGGUCUCGAACUCCUGGCUUCAAGCGAUGCUUUCGCCUCGGCCUCCACAAAGUGCUGGGUUCACAGGUGCGUGAGCCCGACCUGUGUCUCGUUUUGAAGCUCAGGGAGAGGGCGCUGUGAGCAAUCCCUAAACCCUUUAAGAGUAAAAAGUGCGUGCACCUUUAAGAGGACGGUUAGAAAACGCGGGGCGUGGCCACAGGAGAAUAAGUUCGCGCUGAACCAGGAGCGUGGGAUAAGACCGGCCCCUUCCGGUUACGAAACCUUAGCAAGAUGGCGGCUCCCUGGGCGGUAAGUGACCGGAGUUCCUAGAGCCCCAAAUUUGAAGUCCGCUCUACAGCCUCCGCAUUCAGGGCCUCUGUUGGCGGCCACGAGAGCAGAAAGCCGUGAGGCAGCAGGCUAAGCCUGGCAAGCCCCGUACUGGGAGUGCAAACCUGUGGCUAGUGGGGGCCAGGAAGGAUCUGUGAGGGUCGCAGGCGGAGGAGACGCUUUAGCGAGCGAGAGGAGGCAGGGACUUGGCUGAGAGUAUCCAAUGGGGAUGAGGGAGUGGCUGCCGAAGAGCGACGCGACUAACCAAUCAGAGGGAGGGAUGACACAAGGAGCUAAUGGACAGGCAAGGGUGGGGCCUGUAGGAUAAGAGAGCUUGGAAGGGAUUGUUCGAGGAUGUGGGAUUUGGUCUUAGAAGACCGAAGGAUGAAUGUAAGGAAAGUUAGUGGGAGAUUGACGAAUUUUUACAGAAAACUCAAAAGCAUGAUGGGUGGGGGAACCAAGAGGUCAAUUUGGAGGUUCUAAGGGCAUGAUCUGGGUGAAAUUAAGAGGAGAAUUUGAGAUAUUCUUUCAGAGGAUUUAAAAUCAAGGAAUGAAUUUAGGGAAAAUUAAAGAGGUUGGCAGCUUUAAACUUUUGAGGAAAAUAAGGGUUUGGGUAAAAUUAUCGAGAUAAUUUGAAAAAAAAAAAGAAUUUGGUUAAAGCAAAGAGAAAUUGGGGUAGAUUAAGAGGAGACCUUGAAAGCAAAAUUGAAGAGUUUGGGGGCUUCUUCCCAUUGGCCACACCCCUCGACUUUCUUACUCUCCUCUUCAAAGCUCAUGCUUUUUAUACCCUUCUCGGUUCAGGGGUGUCCAAUCUUUUGGCUUCCCUGGGCCACGCUGUUCGAAGAAGAAGAAUUGUCUUGGGCCACACAUAAAAUACACUAACCAUAACUGAUGAGCC